GCAGGGAACAGCUGCAGUAGUACCCAGAGUGGUAACCAUGGCAACCUGAGGCCCUUGAGGCCGCAUAUUGUUUGCUCAGCCAGAAUCUCUUUUAAGUGCCAGCAGGAAUCGGAAGUGGGGAGACUUCAUAAAGAGCCAGCCAAUCCAUCAGCCAAUGCUUACUCUAGAGACAAUGAAGUUCCACUUGUUUUCAGGACACACCUCUUUCUUGGUUCUUCUCUUUUGCUGGAUCUUCAUUCAGAAAACAAUGAGAUUGCCACAGCUACCCUGCUUUCAGCAACCAACUUUCUGAUCAGUCAGCAGCCAUGAACAAUGAGCAAGACAUAAAAAAUUGUCUAGUUUCUAGGUCUCAACAAGGAAAAGAAAACAGGAAGGGAGAGAAAAGAGGGUCUGAUUUACCAUGCAAACAAAUGAGAAAAGUUUGUGAGUAGGAGGUGGACAAGGAUUUAAUUAGCACCCACUAAAUGCCAGACCCUGAGCCAAGUGCUUUAUAUUCCCAAUCCUUGUAACAACACAAAGAAAAUAAUAUGAGGUAAGUGGUAUAAUGACUUCAUUUUUUAGUUGGGGAAACUAAGAAUUAGGUAACCUGCCCACAGACAUAGAGAUAGUAAAUGUCAGAAUUGAAACUUGAACUCGGGUAAUAUUGAGAUUGUCACCCCACACCACAAUAUUGCAUUAUGCUACUUCAAUAAAACACUUUGAAAAUUUUAACA
rnacentral:lncRNA from 1 species